UACGUACUGUGCGAACGUUAUUCGGAAUCACUGGGCUUAAAGGGUGCGUAGGCGGCCUGUUAAGUAGGGUGUGAAAUGCCAGAGCUCAACUUUGGCAUUGCGCUCUAAACUGGCAGGCUUGAGUGAGAUAGGGGUGUGCGGAACUUCCAGUGGAGCGGUGAAAUGUGUUGAUAUUGGAAGGAACGCCGGUGGCGAAAGCGGCACACUGGGUCUUAACUGACGCUGAUGCACGAAAGCCAGGGGAGCGAAC
rnacentral:rRNA from 1 species